UAUGUGAAAAUAAAGAAAAUGCAG
rnacentral:piRNA from 1 species